rnacentral:lncRNA from 1 species
AAACAACACCGUUGCGCUUAAAAGAGAUCUGUGCAGUCAAGGUUAAUCCAUCUAAUGGCUCAGAAGUUGGUUGUUUUUAAUAUUUAAGUGUCCAAACGCUCAUCCCCUACCCCCUCAUCUCUCAUCUGCCUCAUUCCCCAAAACCCUAAUGACAGCAGCCCAGAAAUCCUCUUACGACCGGUGGCGGAACCACCACAAACUGACCCCAAACUAACACCAGAUCAUCUCCUCAACUCCCUCUUUCCAAAAUCUAUGAUAUCUUUACCUAAAAACACUCUGAGGAUCCUCGAAUAUCAAAUCAAAGAGUGGAACCCUAGCCAACCGCCUCAAAAUCCCAACUUUCUAGGUGAUGGCGCCACCACCAACCACCAAUAGAUUAACACCCUGAAAUCCUCUGCCUCUCCUCAUCCCAAAUAUCCAAUUCCCUUCCCUUGAAUAUCCCUCAAACUAUUCAAAUUUUGGAUCAAAGAGUUGAGCCCUAAAUCCCAAAACAUCAAAUGGGUAGGGCUUUAAAGAUUUGGGAUCUAAAUUGACUUUAGUCGUGUGUUUUUAGUUAAUAAGACACGAUUAAGGUCCAUCUUGGCCAGAAUCAAAGAUUUCAUUGAGUAUUGGUUUCAAAACCGUGGUCCGCUUAGUUCUAACAAUCAUUCCGGUAUGUUUUUUUUCUUUGUUCAUUGUUCUUAUCUUCUUGUAUUCUCUUUUUUUUCUUAUUAUUAUCUAUUAUUUGCAUGUGUUUAAGUCAAGUGUUAACUGUUUUUCUUUAGUUUAAUUUUAUUUUGUUUGAUCAGAUUAGUUUCUCGUUUCAUUGAUUUUAACGUCUAGGACAUAAUUGAAUUUUAGUUCAUAUGCUUGAGUGAGCUUUUCUGCCUCAUCUUGCUUUCGAAUUAUGAAAUCAGACCUGGGCGCAAAGAAAGAAUUGGCCCAGGUCUUGUGUAAAUUAGGCUGUUGGUUUUGAGUUGGAUCAUUUUUUACCCAUGUUUGGACUCGUUUGAAUAUUGGGUCAGCUUAACCCAUGAAGUUCAGGGUAAAAACAGGGUCACAAUGGGAUAAUUGGGGCAAUUCACAUAGAGAAUCUCCCUGUAACCACUUUAAGAAGCUUCUAGAAGCUGAAAAUGAACUUGGUUGGCAAUCAAGUCAAAAUAUGAGGGAUUUCGAAAUAAAAACAAAAUUCAAAAAGGACUAAAAGAAAAUUUGAAAUCUGAUUGUUUACCUUAGUUGCUUGCCUAUAAAGGCAUUGCUACUCUAAGCUGAAUUCAGAUUGGGAGGGUGAUAAAAUCUAGCAAAAUAGAAACAUCCAUAGACUUGUUACUGUUCCAUUGAUUUCUUUAGAGGUUUUUAGAAAGAAAAUUCUGAAAAAUAAGAAGACAACUAAAAUUUGGAGAGAAAAAUACUAUUCCAUCGAUUUUUCUUCUUUGAUUUCUAAAAUUCAAACCUGCUGAUGCAAUCUGUGGUAUGUUCAAGUGUUUGAGAUGGUUAGAACUUGGUUUUAAUUUGGGUUUGAAAUCUACUAGCCAAAUAAUGCUUUGAUGGUUUCUUAAAUAAUCUCAUUACUGGGUUGAAUUAAUCUGAGGCUAACUUUCUGCUACUGCUAUUGCUGAGCCUAUUGAUUCUCACUUCUUAUUUUUUUCUUCUCUCUCCCAGGUAUAUUUUGAUCCUUAUGGGUGUCACUUGAUAUGUAACUUGAAGCAUGAGUUGAGAAUGAGAUAAAUGUGGUGUUAUUUGUGGAUUUCACCUCUUUAUCUUCAGUUUUGUAACCACCAUGUCGCUUGGAAGUUUUGAGUAAUCUAUUUGUUCUAGAAUGGUUGUAAUUGAUAAUUAGAUCAUGUUAGUUUAGUAUAGUGGUUUCCUUCUAAUCCCGAUUAUUAGAUUUUAUAAUUAAUGUUGGACUUCUUCUGUGUGUUCAUUUGGCUCUUAUAUCUGAGUUUAGUUUGUAUUAGUGCAGUAAGUUAGGCUAUUAAGAAUGAUUGCAAUUGUCACAUUUGUAGGCUAUUAAGAAUGAUUGCAAUUGUCACAUUUGUGGCUGUUGAUCAUGAUGAAAUAGUUUUCCAAUAACAAGAAGUAGUGGCUUGUCAAAUGACUUUUAGUUGAAUUCAGUAUAUAGAAUGUGGACGUGGACAUGAUAUUCUGAAUCUCUCAUUGGUUUAUAAGUUAGUUUUUGAUUGAGGAUCAUUUGAAACAAAAUUCAAACCAUGAAAUGGGUUGCAAAGAAACAUUUGCUGAUAGGUGUUUGUUGAAAUUGGUUGAAUCAGCUUAAGUUGUGAGUGAAAUAUCCCUGUAACAAUUCCUUACUCGGAUUUCUGGUUUGUGGACUGUAAUACAGAGUCAACCCUUAUCUCGAUUCGGGAUUUGAACCGGUAACUUGGGACACCAUAAAUCCCCAAGUAGCGACUAUGAAUUUAAUAAAUAAAUAAUCCUUUUCCGAUUAUCACUUUAAGUUGGAAAAAACUCUCAUAACUACGCCCUUAGCGAGUGU